GGGAAAGCUUUGCAAGUGGUGAAGCAGGGCUGCAGGUGUCUCUUUGUCUAUCAUCUCCUACCUUCUCGAUUUCUGGCUGUCUCUAUCCAAUAAAUAAGUAAAGAUAAAUAAAGAGAUGUAGGGACCAGGCGGUGGUGCACCUGGUUAAGUGCACACAUUAUAGUGCACGAGGACCCAGGUUCAAGCCCCCGGUCCCUACCUGCAGGGGGAACGCUUCAUGAGUGGUGAAGCAGGGCUGCAGGUGUGUCUGUCCCUCUCUAUCUCCUUGGCCCCUCUCAAUUUUUCAGUCUACCCAAUAAUAAAUAAAAAUUUAAAAAGUGA